rnacentral:rRNA from 1 species
CCUACGGGAGGCAGCAGUGGGGAAUCUUGCGCAAUGGGCGAAAGCCUGACGCAGCAACGCCGCGUGGGGGAUGAAGGCUCUCGGGUUGUAAACCCCUUUCAGCAGGGACGAAUCAAGACGGUACCUGCAGAAGAAGCCCCGGCUAACUACGUGCCAGCAGCCGCGGUAAU